rnacentral:sRNA from 1 species
CACACAUACCUCUGUCACUGUUGCACCAUCAGUAGGUUACACAGAAAUACAAUUGAUUCACGGUGAUAUAUGCAACACAAUCUACUUGACAGUUCGGUCGAUCGGAAACAACAGGGCAUCGUUCCAUUAAUACUCGAGUGGUGGAUUGAAGCAGGCAGCGAGCUACUGCUGUGGCUGAUGCCAGUAGUACUCAGUACCCCAGAAAAUGUACACCCAGGGCACGACCAGUGUCUGUACUAUCCUAAUAUGUCUGACCGCUGUACCAGAGGUUUACUGCGAAAUGGCGAGAAGAGAUGUCUUGCAGACUCUUCUAAACAACAACUCCUACGACAACCGAAUAGCUCCUAAUUAUGAAGAAGACAGAGCCACCAACGUAACCAUUAACUUAUCAAUUAUAAGUAUCGACUCAAUCAAUGAAAUCUCAAUGGACUUUUCCCUGAAUCUUUUUCUUUACCAACAAUGGGUGGAUCCGCGCCUGAAUUACACGAAAUACAGCGACUUUCCAAACUUGGAGCUGGACCAGAAGAUGAUAGAGAACGUCUGGGUCCCAGACACUUACUUCCCCAACGAGAAGCAGGCGACCUUCCACACAGUCACUGUAAACAACAAACUACUCCACAUCUACCAGAACGGAACCGUCUUUUACAGUAUUAGGCUGUCGAUGACUCUGACAUGUACGAUGAAACUUCACAACUUUCCGCUGGAUGACCAGGAGUGCACCAUUUUCUUGGAGAGCUAUGCGUACAGCAUAGAGAAUGUGGUCUUUCAUUGGCACAAGAGAGAUCCGGUGAUUUUGAUGAACGCUGACAAAAACGACGAACAGGAGACCCCUCAGUUCUACUUCUAUAAACAAAUACAUACGGGUUCCUGUGAAAAGACCACCUCGUUUGGACCAAACAACGAAUUUGCAUGUCUUCAAGCCAAACUCUUCUUCCGACGAAAUUUAGGGUACUAUUUGGCCCAGAUUUUUGUACCAAGCAUACUUAUAGUCAUACUCUCUUGGAUAUCCUUUUGGAUUCAUGUGGAUGCAGUUCCCGCGAGAAUCUCGUUAGGAGUUUUGUGUGUACUCACCAUGACAACACAGAGUUCCGGUAUUAGAAAUUCCCUACCACGUGUUUCAUACAUCAAAGCUAUAGAUGUGUGGAUGUCAAUGGGAUUAGUGUUUGUGUUUGCUGCCUUACUAGAAUAUGCUUACAUCAACGUGCAGACACGAAGACACGUCAAAUAUACCUCUAUGAAGAAUCAACCAUCAAUGCGAGAAAAGGGUCCUAUGUUACCCUCUAAUGGGGUACCUGACAGGAGAGAAAUCGACUUCCUACAGAGAGCUCGGCAGGUGGACAAGGUGGCUCGUGUCGGGUUCCCAGUCAGUUUUCUGUUAUUCAACGUUGUUUUCUGGACAUAUUACUUGGUACAGCGAUAUGUAGUAGGCAAGGAUUAAUUUUUAUUUGUUUAAACAAACUUGUUGUCAACUCACAGAUCUUUCAAAACAGUUUCCAAAUACCAGAGUAUGUAUUUAAACUCUCUUUUUCCAUUUUCUGAAUUCUUAAUAUACAUUUAUUGUAUGUACCUGGAUAUAUUGUAUUUUGAAUUUUUUUACAUCUUGUAUAGUAUUAGCAUCUAGUUCAUUUACACAUGUCGCUAUGUCCAUUUAUAGACAAUAAUAUAAAGCGAAAUAGAAAAAAUAUAUAAUAUUUUGGAUAGUGUAAGCUUGCCGAUCAAACAAAUAUGUAAAAUUUAGGUCAAGGAUGAUGUACUGGAUUCCCAUGAUUACUUUGUGUUGAUUCUGUGUAAAGCCAGCAUUCUAGAACGUAUUGCAUUCUUACACUAAUCUACUUCACCCCCCCCCCCCCCCCCCCCCCCGUCUCACUCUUAAUAUUGACAAAAGUCACUUCUUUGCUUCAUUCUUACAUUAUAGUUAUAGAUUUUAUCCGUCACAGCUCACCGUUUAUUGUUCUCUUGAUCGCUUGUUGGAAAACGCAUGCUAGUAUUAAUAAUGCAAACGGUUUUCCUCCUGAUUGUUUCUAUUCAUUGUUUUGCAAACAAAUUAUGCAUAGGUAUUGUUAAGUUUAAUUUACUGUAAGGUUAACCUUUCCGAAAUAUAUGAGAAUGCUGCAUCAAUAAUACAAAAUCCAGGAUCAAAAAGGUCCGGAUCCAUUGUAAUGUUGAAGUGUGGAAGUGUUUGAUUUUUCAAGUAUGACAAACAGUUGAUUUAAUAUAAUGUUGGUGGCAUUUCAGAAGGAAGUUCUAAAUGGUCAGGUUGGUACAAUUGUUGAAUGUCUGUAUUUCUUCCAUAUUGAAUGCGUUAUGGUAUACUCAAAUCAUUCCUUUGUCGUUAUAACAAGAGAAGUAAUCCAACUUCAUAAAUGAAAACGUGCACCUCAUAUCAUCAUUUGUACAACCAUGCGUUGGGUAUUUUAUUGCAUACUUAGUAAUAAAUACAAGUUUUAGGCAUAUAUGUAAGACAGAUAACAUCACGCAACUCGGAUCUCUAUCACACCCCUUGCAGAAGUCGUCUGACUUCUUUUUUCGUGUUGGCAUUUGUGCAUGUUUACAGACAAAAAAUAAACAUCUGUUACAGUUGACAUUUUUAAGUUCAGUUAAAAACUCUAAAUGCUAUCAAAUGUUUUGGAGCAGUUAACUUUUAAAAUCAAUUUGUUCAAGUUGAUGGGGUUUUUUUAAAUUUAUUUACUAAGUAUGUAAGUAAGUAUGAUAAUAGAUGCCCUUUCCUUUUUAGCUCACCUGAGCUGAAAGCUCAAGGUAUUAAAAUUCACUGAUUUGCUUCAAAAGUACUUAUCUUUAUGUGUAUGUUAUAAAAAUCAUUAUCAUCUUCUUUACCGCCAUAAUGAUCUUUUCACAUAACAUGUAUAUAUAUGUUUAUGUAUUUAGAUUUUUCAGAUUUAUACGAUUUUCUAAUUGUACAACAUUUAUUGAAUGCAUUGAAAAUAAAAUAACUUUAAUUAU